UGGGGAAUAUUGGGCAAUGGGCGCAAGCCUGACCCAGCGACGCCGCGUGGGUGAUGAAGGCCUUCGGGUUGUAAAGCCCUGUCAUGUGGAAAGAACAGUCUCGUGGUGAAUAUCCACGGGAUUUGACGGUACCACAGGAGGAAGCACCGGCUAACUCCGUGCCAGCAGCCGCGGUAAUACGGAGGGUGCAAGCGUUGUUCGGAAUUAUUGGGCGUAAAGGGCGCGUAGGCGGUUGUGAAAGUCAGAUGUGAAAUACUUCGGCUCAACUGAAGAACUGCAUCUGAAACUUCAUAACUCGAGUACAGGAGAGGGAAACGGAAUUCCCGGUGUAGAGGUGAAAUUCGUAGAUAUCAGGAGGAACACCAGUGGCGAAGGCAGUUUCCUGGCCUGAUACUGACGCUGAGGCGCGAAAGCGUGGGGAGCAAACAG
rnacentral:rRNA from 1 species